UACGGAGGGGGCUAGCGUUGUUCGGAUUUACUGGGCGUAAAGCGCACGUAGGCGGAUCGAUCAGUCAGGGGUGAAAGGCCUGGGCUCAACCCGGGAACUGCCUUUGAUACUGUCGAUCUUGAAUCCGGGAGAGGUAAGCGGAAUUCCAAGUGUAGAGGUGAAAUUCGUAGAUAUUUGGAAGAACACCAGUGGCGAAGGCGGCUUACUGGACCGGUAUUGACGCUGAUGUGCGAAAGCGUGGGGAGCGAACAGG
rnacentral:ncRNA from 3 species